UGGGGAAUAUUGCACAAUGGGCGCAAGCCUGAUGCAGCCAUGCCGCGUGUAUGAAGAAGGCCUUCGGGUUGUAAAGUACUUUCAGCGGGGAGGAAGGGAGUAAAGUUAAUACCUUUGCUCAUUGACGUUACCCGCAGAAGAAGCACCGGCUAACUCCGUGCCAGCAGCCGCGGUAAUACGGAGGGUGCAAGCGUUAAUCGGAAUUACUGGGCGUAAAGCGCACGCAGGCGGUUUGUUAAGUCAGAUGUGAAAUCCCCGGGCUUAACCCGGGAAUUGCAUCUGAUACUGGUCAGCUAGAGUCUUGUAGAGGGGGGUAGAAUUCCAUGUGUAGCGAUGAAAUGCGUAGAGAUGUGGAGGAAUACCGGUGGCGAAGGCGGCCCCCUGGACAAAGACUGACGCUCAGGUGCGAAAGCGUGGGGAGCAAACAGG
rnacentral:rRNA from 1 species